rnacentral:sRNA from 1 species
UAUACAUUCCAUUGGUGUUGGUAUGAUUUAUUUCUGAAUAUACAUAUAUAUAUGAUUUAUUUCUGAAUAUACACAUGUAUAUGUAUAUUCAGAAAUAAAUCAUACCAACACCAAUGGAAUGUAUU